rnacentral:tRNA from 1 species
AUACAAUUAAUUUAAUUUAAAAUGUUAGUUUGUGGUGCUAAAUAUGCUAAGGUUAGUAUUGUAUA